UACAGAGGGUGCAAGCGUUGUCCGGAAUUAUUGGGCGUAAAGAGCUCGUAGGCGGUUUGUCGCGUCUGCUGUGAAAACUCAGGGCUUAACCCUGAGCCUGCAGUGGGUACGGGCAGACUAGAGUGUGGUAGGGGAGAUCGGAAUUCCUGGUGUAGCGGUGGAAUGCGCAGAUAUCAGGAGGAACACCGGUGGCGAAGGCGGAUCUCUGGGCCAUAACUGACGCUGAGGAGCGAAAGCAUGGGGAGCGAACAGGA
rnacentral:rRNA from 1 species